rnacentral:snoRNA from 1 species
AGUUUCAUAUAAAACUAAACAUGCUUCCCACUAGGUUUUCUAUAUGCUACUUUGGUAGCAAUCAACCUAUUGGGGACACUA